UUUGAAAUAAGGCUUUAAAUGAGUGCUAAGAGAAUGGUUUAACAAUUAUAAGCUUUCUUUAAUUAAAAAAUUAAAUUUAAUUUUUUUGUGAAGAAGCAAAAAUUUAAAUUAGGGACAAGAAGACCCUAUGAAUUUUAUAUUAAAUAAUAUAAUUUAAUUAAAUUAUAUUAUUUAAAUUAAUUGGGGUGAUUUAAAAAGAAUAUAUAUCUUUUUAAAAAGUUAAUUUGUUCCGUUUUUAACGAUUUUAUGAAAAAAAUACUCUAGGGAUAACAGCGUAAUAAUUUUGGAUAGUUCAUAUAGAUAAAAUAGUUUGCGACCUCGAUGUUGGAUUAGGAUUCUUUUUUAAUGAAGAAAUUAAAAAGAAGAAGUUUGUUCAACUUUUAAAUUCCUACUUGAUC
rnacentral:rRNA from 1 species